UAUUUCUUAUAAUUAUUUUGUAUUUUGAACUAUUGGACAUGUUGCAUCAAAUUGUAGGUAAUGUUCUAUAAAAAUUAAAUUAUUGAUUAUAUAAUGUCGAGAAUUUCAAUCGGCUCGUUUAGAGUUCGAGCUCGGCUCGACUCGAAAUUAGGCUCGCUCGAGCUCGGCUCGAAUUAAUUUCAAGCCGAGCUUGAGCCUAGAUUUAGGCUCGAAAUUAAUUUCAAGCCGAAUUUGAGCUCACAUAAGCUCGCUC
rnacentral:lncRNA from 1 species